rnacentral:rRNA from 1 species
GAGUUUGAUCUUGGCUCAGAACGAACGCUGGCGGCAGGCUUAACACAUGCAAGUCGAACGGACGUAGCAAUACGUUAGUGGCGCACGGGUGAGUAACGCGUGGAUAUCUGCCUUUUGGUUCGGGAUAACCUUGGGAAACUAGGGCUAAUACCGAAUGGUUCCUACGGGAUAAAGAUUUAUCGCCAAAAGAUGAGUCCGCGUCCGAUUAGCUAGUUGGCGGGGUAACGGCCCACCAAGGCGACGAUCGGUAGCUGGCCUGAGAGGACGAUCAGCCACACUGGGACUGAGACACGGCCCAGACUCCUACGGGAGGCAGCAGUGGGGAAUAUUGCACAAUGGGCGCAAGCCUGAUGCAGCAACGCCGCGUGCAUGAUGAAGGCCUUC